AAACAGAAAUGUCCAGAGGGCACUUUACUUUGAAGAAAAGAAAGGAUGGUUCCUCGGGCGUGAGGCUCUUCCACUGCACUUCGGUCGAGCUGACCCCCGCAAUUACUCCAAAUGCAACUCGGGCGCAUUAUUUUUGGUAUCUGGGACUGUGUUCGCGCUGUACCGGU